GCCGGAGUGGUGGAAUUGGUAGACACGCAGCCUUGAGGGGGCUGUGGCCUUAUGGCCGUGUCGGUUCGACUCCGACCUUCGGCACCA
rnacentral:tRNA from 1 species